rnacentral:rRNA from 1 species
CCCUUAGAUGUUCUGGGCCGCACGCGUGCUACACUGAGUGGAUCAGCGGGUCAGGUUGCGCGAAAGUGUUUCCUAAUCUUUAAAUCCGCUCGUGAUGGGGAUUGACGGUUGCAAUUUUCCGUCAUGAACGAGGAAUACCUUGUAAGCGCGGGUCAUCAUCCCGCGCUGAAUACGUCCCUGCCCUUUGUACACACCGCCCGUCGCUCCUACCGAUUGAGUGGUCCGGUGAAGCUUUGGGAUCUGGGCGGAAAGAGCGUUUCGCUGUUUCUGCCCGGAAAACUCAGUCGAACCUUAUCAUUUAGAGGAAGGAGAAGUCGUAACA